rnacentral:lncRNA from 1 species
GCAAAGCUGGCAAAGAUUCUGUGUGCCAUUGUCAGGAGUCUCAGACUGCUGUGAAGCCUUCCUUACCACACAUGGCCUAAGGCUUCUCCAGGGCAAGAUCUGGUGCCAAGACUGCUAGCACAAGUGCUGUGACAGGGCCCACAGUAGCCUCUCUGAGCCUCUGUGUGCCUCUUGCCCUCCUAUGCCUUGUGGGUGCUAUGGGGACUUAGCAGAUCCUGAGGAACCAUCAUGAUCUCCCAUUGGCCUCCACUGGGAGUGGCCUAGCUUUACUCCUUCCUGGGCCUGAGUGAGCAAGCCCCUCACCAGAGUUGGCCUGGAGGCAGCAGUCCUGAGUCCUGCUGUGUGGCUUUGAAUACAUCACCCCCCUCUGGCCACUGCAAGCUCUCAGCUGUACAAGGAGCCCAGCCAGAUCAUCCUAAGUGUGUGUACAAGCCUAGGAAGGCCUUUGCCAGUGCAAGUGCCAUUGUUCCUGGGGCCAUCCUCCUCCCUCAACACCCCUCUUCCUAGCCCUCAGCCCUUCUGGGGUCACCUGUAACCUGGCCAUCAUCUCUGUCUUAGGACUGGUGGACUCCCUGCUCACAGCCUCCCUCAGGUGGGUGGUAGAAGCUGGAAGGGUGAUGGAGCCCUUCGAGGAGUCAGCAGGGGUAGGCUAGGAGAACAGGUCCCAGCUAGCUGGGCCACCUGAGGGUGGGUCUCCACCCAUUUCAAAAGUCAGAGGGUGGGGCUAUGAUCUUAAAACUGCUGUCUGGAGUUGCUCACCGGACACACCAGGAAGAUUCUCACACUGGACUUCCCUUCUCUGUACCCAGCUCACCAUGUCCAAACAGCUGCAGGCUCGAAGGCUGGAAGGGAUCGAUCACAACCCCUGGUGAGCUGACGGGCUGGGGAUGUGUCUGGGUGUCUUUUCUCCCAUGGGCUGACAAUCUCUGACUUGUGUAACUCAGUGUACCCAAAAUGUGUGUGACAGCCACAGCACAGGAGAGGCAAGAUAGUGGGCUAGCCUCAAAUCUCUGAGUGCCCCCCACCUGGCUGGGCAGGAGACACUGGUACAAACUGGAAAUGGUUUUCUCUCCCUGAGGGACCUUGUGGACUGGCAAUGACUCCCAAUCAGGCAGCAGGCCAUGGCUUCCACAGAUGAUAACUGAUCCUCCAUAGCUACGGCUUCCGUACAUCUGGGAUUCAUCCCAUUGGAAAUCAAAAACAUGUUUAAAAAAAGCAUCCUUGUGGCUGGAGAGAUGGUUCAGUGGGAGUAAGGACCUGUGGCAUCUGCUAGAGUUCCUACCUAGGUUCAAAUACUAGUACAUAUUAUUUUUAAAAAGCUGGGCAUGGCCAUGUCUCGUUGUAAUCCCAGUGCUGUGGCAAACAGAAAGUGGAGGGCUGCUGGGCUUGCUGUGCUGCUCAGCAUCCUAGCUCCAGGUUAGCGAGAGACCUUACAUCAAAGGAAUAGGAAGGUCAUAGCUCAAGAUGCUUGCCCACCUCCUCUGGGUAAUACACAUACACACACAUAUAUGCUACACACACACACACACACACACACACACACACACACACACACACACGUGUACACUC